rnacentral:lncRNA from 1 species
AGAAAUCAUAAGGCCAUAAAGAGGAGCCUCAAAUGCUUCUCGCCAUUCCAAUGGCGCAUGGAUGAACAAUGUCCUCUAGAAAGCCAUUGCACCUAAACCGACCUUGGUACCCCCUCUUGCUCGAUUGGUGCCAAUGGUCUCCAACAAGCAAUUUAAUAGCCUCGUCCUAGAGGUUGGAGCUUGAUCCACUGACGUGUGAGGGAUGCAACAAAUCAUUGCAUCUCAGCUUAUUUCAGAAGCCCCACAUCGAGACCAAGCUAGACCAGUAAUCGAGCACUCACCUCCUUGAAGUCCGAGGUAGGGGCAUAGCCGACUCAGUCGACCCACAUGCCCUGUUCGAGGAUGACAUAGGCACUCAUUAGCCCCAC